UCUUUAGCUAGUUGCUCUACAGAUUCUUUUUUGGCCUGUCUAAUCAUACCUUUAUACUUGACUUGCCUGAGCUUAUGCUCCUUUCUAUUUUCCUCGGUAAGAUUUGACUUCCACUUUUUAAAAGAUGCCUUUUUCUCUC